AACGGACGCUGGCGGCAGGCCUAACACAUGCAAGUCGAGCGAAGCCUUCGGGCUUAGCGGCGGACGGGUGAGUAACGCGUGGGAACGUGCCCUUUGGUACGGAAUAGCCCCGGGAAACUGGGAGUAAUACCGUAUGUGGUCGAGAGACGAAAGAUUUAUCGCCAAAGGAUCGGCCCGCGUUGGAUUAGGUAGUUGGUGGGGUAAUGGCCUACCAAGCCGACGGUCCAUAGCUGGUUUGAGAGGAUGAUCAGCCACACUGGGACGGAGACACGGCCCAGACUCCUACGGGAGGCAGCAGUGGGGAAUCUUAGACAAUGGGGGAAACCCUGAUCUAGCCAUGCCGCGUGAUCGAUGAAGGCCUUAGGGUUGUAAAGAUCUUUCAGUGGGGAAGAUAAUGACUGUACCCACAGAAGAAGCCCCGGCUAACUCCGUGCCAGCCGCCGCAGUAAAAC
rnacentral:rRNA from 1 species